GGCAUGAAGGAAUUUAUGGGUAACAACUGUCUCCUAUAACUGUAUUGAAUUUAUUAAAUAAGUGAAAAUACUUAUAUAACCAUAAUAGACGAGAAGACCCUAGAAAUUUUUUACAAUAAGUUUUUUGAGUUUUGGUAUUUUGUUGGGGCGACAGAAUAACAAAUAACUUAUUUUAUUAGUUAGAAUUAUAUUGUAAGGUAAAAUAAAUUACUCUAGGGAUAACAGCAUAAUAUAUUAAAGUUUGUGACCUCGAUGUUGGACUAGGACCCUUAACAACCAGAAGUUUUUAAGUUAAGCUCUGUUCGAGCUGUAUUUCCUACGUGAUCUGA
rnacentral:rRNA from 1 species